rnacentral:rRNA from 1 species
GACGAACGCUGGCGGCGUGCUUAACACAUGCAAGUCGAGCGGUAAGGCCCUUUCGGGGGUACGACGAGCGGCGAACGGGUGAGUAACACGUGGGUGACCUGCCCUCAGCUCUGGGAUAAGCCUGGGAAACCGGGUCUAAUACUGGAUAUGACUCCAUGACGCAUGUUGUGGGGUGGAAAGCCUUGUGCGGCUGAGGAUGGGCCCGCGGCCUAUCAGCUUGUUGGUGGGGGGAUGGCCUACCAAGGCGACGACGGGUAGCCGGCCUGAGAGGGCGACCGGCCACACUGGGACUGAGACACGGCCCAGACUCCUACGGGAGGCAGCAGUGGGGAAUCUUGCGCAAUGGGCGAAAGCCUGACGCAGCGACGCCGCGUGAGGGAUGACGGCCUGG